GUUUGAAUUAGUUUAGCUGAAAAGAACUUAAAUUGACAACAUAAAGGUUAAGGGUUCAAAUCUCAUUUCAAACA
rnacentral:tRNA from 1 species